rnacentral:rRNA from 1 species
UACGGAGGGUGCGAGCGUUGUCCGGAAUCACUGGGCGUAAAGGGCGCGUAGGCGGCCUGAUAAGUAGGGGGGUGAAAUCCUGUGGCUUAACUGCAGGGCUGCCUCCUAGACUGUUAGGCUCGAGCACGGUAGAGGCAGAUGGAAUUCCCGGUGUAGCGGUGGAAUGCGUAGAGAUCGGGAAGAACAUCGGUGGCGGAGGCGGUCUGCUGG